rnacentral:rRNA from 1 species
GCAGUCGCCGCGGGAAUACGAAGGGUGCAAGCGUUGUCCGGAAUUAUUGGGCGUAAAGGGCUCGCAGGCGGUUUCUUAAGUCUGAUGUGAAAGCCCCCGGCUCAACCGGGGAGGGUCAUUGGAAACUGGGAAACUUGAGUGCAGAAGAGGAGAGUGGAAUUCCACGUGUAGCGGUGAAAUGCGUAGAGAUGUGGAGGAACACCAGUGGCGAAGGCGACUCUCUGGUCUGUAACUGACGCUGAGGAGCGAAAGCGUGGGGAGCGAACAGGAUUAGAUACCCCAGUAGUCCCUGUCUCUUAUAA